AGACAUGACCUGGCAGGGGAGAUACCGUGAUCAAGAAGGUGGUUCACCCAGGGCGAGGCUCAGCCAUUGCACUCUAGGUUGUGCUGACCCCUGCGAACUCAAAAACCAGGACAGAAACACUACAGUGAUCUUCAGCAGUC
ensembl:snRNA U1 U1 spliceosomal RNA